AUUGAACGCUGGCGGCAGGCCUAACACAUGCAAGUCGAACGGUAGCACAGAGAGCUUGCUCUCGGGUGACGAGUGGCGGACGGGUGAGUAAUGUCUGGGAAACUGCCCGAUGGAUGGGGAUAACUACUGGAAACGGUAGCUAAUACCGCAUAAUGUCGCAAGACCAAAGAGGGGGACCUUCGGGCCUCUUGCCAUCGGAUGUGCCCAGAUGGGAUUAGCUUGUUGGUGAGGUAAUGGCUCACCAAGGCGACGAUCCCUAGCUGGUCUGGGAGGAUGACCAGCCACACUGGAACUGAGACACGGUCCAGACUCCUACGGGAGGCAGCAGUGGGGAAUAUUGCACAAUGGGCGCAAGCCUGAUGCAGCCAUGCCGCGUGUGUGAAGGAGGCCUUCGGGUUGUAAAGCACUUUCAGCGGGGAGGAAGGCAAUGCGGUUAAUAACCGUGUUGAUUGACGUUACCCGCAGAAGAAGCACCGGCUAACUCCGUG
rnacentral:rRNA from 1 species